rnacentral:rRNA from 1 species
UACGAAGGGAGCUAACGUUGCUCGGAAUCAUUGGGCGUAAAGCGCACGUAGGCGGUCCAGCAAGUCGGGAGUGAAAUCCCUCGGCUUAACCGAGGAAGUGCUUUCGAAACUACUGGACUUGAAUACUGGAGAGGGUUGCGGAAUUCCCGGUGUAGAGGUGAAAUUCGUAGAUAUCGGGAGGAACACCAGUGGCGAAGGCGGCAACCUGGACAGAUAUUGACGCUGAGGUGCGAAAGCGUGGGGAGCAAACAGG